GUAGGUGAACCUGCGGAAGGAUCAUUAACACGUACCAACGGUACAAACAAACCGGAGAACCCGUCUUGCUCCCUGUCUAUGCCUUUGGCGCCCCUCGAGAUGUGGUAAUGACUCGAGGCCCGCACGGGAUAACCUGGCGAAAGCCUUAGAUUCCCACGUUGGUAUUCAGGCAACACGCCAUUACUCGUAACUUUUUACGAUCUCACCCAUGACAACAUAGCACUGAUUUAUUUACUGGAGCUGGUGGAAACAUCGCUCUGUAAACAUUUAACAUAACCUAGCACAACUCUUAGCAAUGGAUAUCUAGGUUCUC
rnacentral:misc_RNA from 1 species